GACGAACGCUGGCGGCGUGCUUAACACAUGCAAGUCGAACGCUGAACCCGCUUCGGUGGGGGAUGAGUGGCGAACGGGUGAGUAACACGUGGGCAACCUGCCCCCGGCUCUGGGAUAACUCCAAGAAAUUGGGGCUAAUACCGGAUGUGACCGCUGGCCGCAUGGUCUGGUGGUGGAAAGGGUUUCCGGCUGGGGAUGGGCCCGCGGCCUAUCAGCUUGUUGGUGGGGCAGUGGCCUACCAAGGCGACGACGGGUAGCCGGCCUGAGAGGGUGACCGGCCACACUGGGACUGAGACACGGCCCAGACUCCUACGGGAGGCAGCAGUGGGGAAUAUUGCGCAAUGGGCGGAAGCCUGACGCAGCGACGCCGCGUGGGGGAUGACGGCCUUCGGGUUGUAAACCUCUUUCAGCAGGGACGAAGCGCAAGUGACGGUACCUGCAGAAGAAGCACCGGCCAACUACGUG
rnacentral:rRNA from 1 species